rnacentral:lncRNA from 1 species
AUGCAACUGAAUCUCAGACAUGACCUGGAACAAGACCCGAGAUUAUCGCCAUACACCCCAUAUAUCUAUCUUUUGUUCCUGCUGGAUUUGCCUCCUGUUGAAAUAUGCACACACGGAACAUUUUUCUCCUGCCCAAAUCUAGGAGGCCCUUUCUUGGGAGUUGGCGUUCUCCAUCCGUCCUCAGAACGUGGCCCUCGUCCCUGGCGAUUGACAGGCGGACCGACAGAGGUGGGACCUCUCGCGGCUUCGAGGAAGGUAUGGACGGGUCUUCUCGUUCUUUUUUGUGACAGAGAACCAGAACAUCUCACAGUAGGACGUUUGUUUAUUGGCAUCUCGGUGGUGAAAUUCCUCUAAAAAAUAUAAUACUAAGAUAUAUUUUUGACGGCGUUUCAAGAUAUAUUUUUUUCCUCCCAUGAUAUUAAUAUCUUAGGAAACAUGUCCAAACUAUUCAAGUCCUGCAGGGAAAAUAAUUAAAUCGGGAUCUUCAUAGUUGAAAACCCAUACUUAGCUUGGUAAGGUAAGACUUUACUUUGGACAGCAGUUUUAGGAAGAGAGUGGCAUGACUUUCCCACCACAAUUAUACAAGUCGAAUAGGAAACAGAUUGUCUUAGCAAGUUACGGAGGUUAACAAUGGUUGGUAAAGCCAUCUCGAUCCUGGUUUGCAGACAUGGCUUCAUCGUGGUUUAAGAAUUCCAAUAAUCAUGUUUAAUCAUGGGCCUUGCAUCACAUGAUGUCUCUGCUUGGAUUUGGUGUUGUGUCUCCCCCGUCUAAUACUAUCAUCCCAUUUUUUUGAGUUGAACUUCAUGUAUCCUCCUAACCUUGAACAUACUUGCCUCAUUUCAUCAUCAUUGAUGUUAAGUCCAGAUCCGGAGUUGACUGGGUUCAGUGCUGUCUGGAUAAGGGUGAACUACAACUCCCAGAUCCAAGGUCAAUCACCCCCAAACCAGGCCCAUAUGCACAGUUGGCCAUGUUGGGUCUGUGUGCCAAAUUUGGUCCAGUUUUGUAAUUAGUGAGGGUCGCAAUGGUCUGUGAGGCGAAUCGCAUGAAGGUACUGAAAAUCUCAUAAUCCUUGGUCAAUCCUCCCUCAAACUGCUGCAGGGUGUAAAGUGUAUCAUUUGGGAUAUGUGUGCCAAGUUUGGUUCAGUUCUGUCAUUUGUGGCAAUUGAAGUGUUCUCAAGAAAUGAGUGAAGGUACUGGAAGUCCCAUCAUUCUUGGUCCCCUCCCCAAUUUGCCCCAGGAUGGAAAGCCAACCCAGGAUUUUAUAGUAUAUUUAUCAUAGGUGACCUUAUUUGUUUUAUGACUCGUUUUAUUGUUGAUUGACUUGCUUUAUUGUUGUGUUUUUAUAUUGUCUGUUGCCUGGGCUUGGCCCCAUGUAAGCCGACCUGAGUCCCUUCGGGGAGAUGGGACGGGGUAAAGAAAUAACAUUAUUAUUAAAUUAUUAUAAAGGGGUUCUUGGGGGUUCUGUGUGCCAUGUUUGGUUCAGCUCCAUCACUGGUGUGUGUCGCAGUGGUCUGUGGGAGCUGAAGCGAUUGAAAGUACUGCAAAUCCCAUCAUCCAUAACCCAUCAUCCCCCAUACGGCACCAGGACAUAAAGUGGGUCAUGGGAGUUAAGUGUGCCAAGUUUGGGCCAGGUCUGUCACUGGUGUGUGUCGCAGUGGUCUGUGGGAGCCGAAGCAAUUGAAAGUACUGCAAAUCCCAUCAUCCAUGGGUCAUGGGAAUUAAGUGUGCCAAGUUUGGACUAGGUCCAUCAUUCCUGGCGGUCACAGUGGCUUGUGGAAGUGGCGGCUAAUCAGAAAACUGCCACAUACCCAGGUACAUACACACACAUACCUACAUCCAUACAAACACACCCCACCUUCUUCCAUGGAGAUAUUGCAAUGAUCACACGUCCCUUAAUCCUCGCACCAUCGAACCUUAUGCUUUGGGCUUGGUUCCACCUCUUCCACAUCUACAUUUGCCGGUUGUUGGGUUUAGUCCAGAUCCGUCGUCGGCUGGGUUCAGAGUUCUCUGGAUAAGGGUGAACUACAACUCCCAGAUCCGAGGUCAAUUACUCCGAAAACAGGCCUGUGUGGCCAUGUUGGGUCUGUGUGCCAUGUUUGGUCCAGGUUUGAU